rnacentral:tRNA from 1 species
GCCCCGGUCGUCUAGCCCGGUCAAGGAUACGGCGUGAACGGCCGGCCUCAAAUUGGCCUCUCGAGCCAAAGAUCCCGGGUUCAAAUCCCGGCCGGGGCA